UACGGAGGGUGCAAGCGUUGCUCGGAUUUAUUGGGCGUAAAGGGUAGGUAGGUGGUCUUAUUUGUCUAGGGUGAAAUCCUUGAGCUUAACUCAAGAAGUGCCCUAGAAACGGUAAGACUAGAGUCCUGGAGAGGGUCGUGGAAUUCCCGGUGUAGCGGUGAAAUGCGUAGAGAUCGGGAAGAACACCGGUGGCGAAGGCGGCUCUCUGGACCGAUACUGACGCUGAGGCGCGAAAGCGUGGGGAGCAAACAGG
rnacentral:rRNA from 1 species